GAAGUGCGAUAAGUGUCACGACUUGCAGAUCCCCGAGAGCUGACAAAUCUCUGAAUGCAAAUGGCGGCCAGCUAUCGUUGGUCAUGUAUCGCAGAGUGUAAUCGUUCAUACUCAUCAUCCUCUGAUUCUCUCUCAAGGGAGUUCUAGAGGGAUCUGCGCUUGGGGGAGGGUUCUCCUCUUUCGAGCGUGAAAAGUCAGAGUGGAGCGACCCCCCUCUCGAGGGGGAGAGCUCCAACUUCGGACAAUGUUCUCUCUACGAGACAUCCAAGAAGUUCCACCACGUGCUCUGUUCUAGUUUUUGUUAUUCACCUCUGCGAUGCAGGAAAACCCGCUGAACUUAA
rnacentral:misc_RNA from 1 species